rnacentral:tRNA from 4 species
GCGGGUAUCGUAUAACGGUCAUUAUGCAUCCUUGCCAAGGAUGAGAGACGGGUUCAAUUCCCGUUACCCGCUCAA